GCCUAGCCCCGAUUGAAGCAAUUGUUUGAGCUCUUUUUUGUUUUUCUUUUCGAAAAAACAAAAAAAGCGAGUGCGGAAAGCGGGAAAUUGC
rnacentral:sRNA from 2 species